GGGGGCGCUUUGGAUUCGACGCCGGUAUCAACACCAAAGGUGCAUGUCGAGAGGGUAGUAACUCUCGUAAAUCAAUUACUGCAACUUAAUAGUUGCCAACGACGAUACGUACGCUCUAGCAGCUUAAUUGCUUGCUAGCGAUUGCCUCAGGGAUGCCUGUAAACCGGAGUUUUGCAAUCGUCAUCUAGAACAGGAUCGCUGUGCGGUGCGUCUGGCGCCAAGCAGCUAAAAAACACCAGACUCGCCCUAUUCGCCCUGCCCGUCGGGUAGAUGCAGGCUAACUCAAUAGACGAAGCUAAACAUGUAGAUCCGAUGGCCGCGAACUGACGGACGGGGGUUCAAAUCCCCCCGCCUCCACCA
rnacentral:tmRNA from 1 species